rnacentral:rRNA from 1 species
AGAAGCUUGCUUCUUUGCUGACGAGUGGCGGACGGGUGAGUAAUGUCUGGGAAACUGCCUGAUGGAGGGGGAUAACUACUGGAAACGGUAGCUAAUACCGCAUAACGUCGCAAAACCAAAGAGGGGGACCUUCGGGCCUCUUGCCAUCGGAUGUGCCCAGAUGGGAUUAGCUAGUAGGUGGGGUAACGGCUCACCUAGGCGACGAUCCCUAGCUGGUCUGAGAGGAUGACCAGCCACACUGGAACUGAGACACGGUCCAGACUCCUACGGGAGGCAGCAGUGGGGAAUAUUGCACAAUGGGCGCAAGCCUGAUGCAGCCAUGCCGCGUGUAUGAAGAAGGCCUUCGGGUUGUAGAGUACUUUCAGCGGGGAGGAAGGGAGUAAAGUUAAUGCCUUUGCUCAUUGACGUUACCCGCAGAAGAAGCACCGGCUAACUCCGUGCCAGCAGCCGCGGUAAUACGGAGGGUGCAAGCGUUAAUCGGAAUUACUGGGCGUA